AGAAUAUAGAUAAGGAACUCACAAGCAAAUAAAUACUAAGGCUACUGUCCAGGUAACCUGGUCCAUUCCUUCACUGUCCUGAUAUGGAACACUUCUGUGAUGAAGUAGGAACUGCUGAGCAGAGUUUACGUGCCUUCUUGGAGCAUGCAAGGGAGCAAGAGCAAAUGGCUUUUGCACAUGAAAGUUUCAAGAACCAGGGUGAGAAGCUUCCCUGGAAGAAUACAGAGGAAAGAGAGGCCUCAUCUAUGUUCCAUAUUCCUGCCAGGCUCUGUCAGGAGUGUGAGAUCCCCAACAGUGGCAUGAACUUACUGGCAAAACUGUUUCCAUCAAUGUAAGUGUUUUCACUCAACUGGAUAGUUUCACUAGACUGCAACAGCAGUUCCAUUUCUUGGAGACAGCUAUGUCCAUUCCUUGGAAUACUUCAUCAUACUUUAUCAGUACACUAUAAGGGUACUCUGACAUAAAUAAUGGCCUCCUACUACAGUUACAGUAACAGAUUAAAAAUUAUAGUCAGACCCAUGGUAUGUAGUAAUGCCCUUGGGAACUAAGAGCCUGCGUAGUUUGUGCAACACUUUGUCUUGGUUAUAAGGAUUGUGGGCAGUCACUAUGACACUAAGGAAGACUUUCCAGCACUUUGAAGGGAGACCACCUAGAAUUACUGGUAAAUAGACUCAAACAACAGAAUUCUGUUCCAGUACUAGGUUCUGGUACCAACUAGGUUUAAAACCUUCUUUUGAUCUCUUUGACACUAAUACCCGGUCUUUUCAACCCUAUGUAAGAAGCCUAGCUGCCUGGGUUUGAGGUUAGAGACACUUCGGCAACCUGCUGAAGGAGAUCUCAAAUUAGGCAGUCAAGAGAGUGCCCUAGUUAAUCAGCACUAAUGAUGAUGUGAUAUGAAGAUAGAGACCACACUAAAUAGGAGAUGAAGCCCUCUUCCUACCCCUUCCACUCCAGCAAAAACCGCUGAUUAUUUUACAUAUCCCAGGACUGAGCACAAUCCAGUGAGGGUAGGAUAUCAGCUCAAAGGGUUUGUAUGAAUGCUCUGAUUUUCUGUUGAACAAAAGACUGACUACUAAAAAUCACCCUCAAACUGAAUUAUUUUGAGACCUAAGAGUAUGAAUAGGUUUUGAACAUGUAUGAAUCCUCAUGAGGUGUUCAUUAACCUGGCUAUACUGUAAUAAUGUUAUGAAAAAUUAACUAAUAUUUUGUUGUUAAGUAACUUUCUAAGUAGUGAUCUCCAUAACAUUAACGUGAAAUACAUAUAUUUUAAAGGACAAUUUACCUCAUUUGGUACAACAGACUGAAAAAUAAGACACAAAUCCUGGCAAGAGAGGUCUUUCAGCAUGGGGGACUACAACCACAGGUCCAUGAUAAAAUGUAUUCAUGGGCUUAACUCCAGUUUAAUGUGUUCUUUCCCACUCCUGACCCUCUGCUGCAAGCUUGAUGCCUUCUCACUAGUGCCAGCACAGCUGUUCCUGAGCCUGUGUUGUGAACUAGACCUCUGAAAUCUGGUUGAAAAAAGUCAGUAUGUUUCAGGGAGACAAUAAUGUUGAAGUAGUUUCCUGAUCUGUCAUAGUCAUGCUGCCAGGUGUGGUGGACAGCAAGGAGCAGUGGAAAGUGGGACGAGGUUGUAGAUGGGAGUGUCUGAAGCCAGUAGUACUGUUGCCAAAGGCAAAACUAUAACCUAAACUAGCUUUAGAAAAGAGCCUAAAUAUUUCACUAAGGAGAUAACCACGAUAUGGUCGUACAAGCUGCUAGAUAAGGGUUGUGGUGGACCUUGAAAGGCUGAGUUCUACCACACCACACCCUGCAGCCAGCCAGCCACGCAAGUGUGCUGUUAGGGGCCACUGCCGCUCAGGCAGUUUCAUCCCCCGUGAGCAGCCUUUGAUGGCAUCUAGCCCCACCAGUUCUAGAAGCAGAUAAAAAUCUCAAAACUGGUCUACAUGAUUUUAUCCCUACCACUCAUUCUUUCCAAACAGUCCUUUAGGGCGUGGAACAGAUUUCUGUAUCUCUUCUUUAUUUUCACAGAUGUUUACUACCCCUGUCUAUAUGGCUUUGGCCUAAUAUACCACGCUGUUCUUUCAUUAGAAAGUUAACGAAAGGAAGAAGAUUGUCAACACCUGUCCAUCAGUAGGAGCCUGUCAGGUAACGGGGCCAAAGCCGAGCCAGCCGGCAGGUUUACCGUACUGCUAAUGCUGCGCUACCACCUUGUGGACAGAAGGCAAAUAGCACAGCGCUGCCGGGCACGCAGGUGCAGGGUCCGCGGGAAAUCAACAGCCCAGCUGGGGAAGGUGGCCGCGGGCAGCCUAGCGGACAGGGCAGCGUCGUCUCAGUCCUCCAGGCUGAGCCAGCUCAGGAUCUGGGCAGCCAACAGAAGCCAAAUGGAUUGUGGGAAAAUCUGCUGGAGCUCUGGAGUGUGAUAGCAGGUGAAGGGUACCCCUUAAAAGGGAUAUGACAGGCUGAUUCUCCUCUAGGAUACAGAGAGAAAUAAGCAGGAAUAAAUCAUCUUCCUAUUAUACUAGAGACACCAAUGCCUUUAUACAGGCAACUCCUAACUGUAGUCCUCAGAGCGACUUGCAGCUUCCUUGACUGUCUUCUUCCUGCUAGCUCAACUGGCAAGCCCUUUGACAGUAUAUUACCUUGGAGUCCCAACUCCUCCAUGUUCUUCUCUCCACAUCCUGGGAUUACAGCAGCUCUCUUGCAUUUCAGUGCUUUGAUUCAGGAGGAAUAGAAAUCAGAACACCACUUAAAAGAUCAGUUACUGAACUUGUUAUUCUUAAGGAUAUUUAUCGGUAGCCUCUUCAUCCCAUCAGGAUGAAGUGCCCUAUGACACUAAACAGAUUCCAAGAGAAGAAGGUGUAUUCAAAACCUUAUCUUCCUUUUCCCUAAAACCAAAGGAAUCCUUCUGCAGGUCUGAAACUCUGCACGAUCAGGACGCUGUCUUGUGUGCCUCCUCACACGUGAACUACAUAAGGAUUUGAAACAAGUGUUACUCAGGUAUCUCAAUUACAAGGCAAUGAUGAUUGGCACAGUCUGAUUUGGGUCUUACAUGGCUGAAGGCAAAAGCUUUCGGGGGACUGAUCCUCCUGUUAGUCAAUAGGCUAGACAUCCAGAUUUAUGCUGAUGCCAAAUUCUCUCUGUGGUCUCAUGUGACACAAAAUCAAACUGAGGCUUUUCACAUCCAUAAAACAUGUCCAAAACCCCUAGUUUAUUUCAUAAUACAGAAAAGCCUUCCUCAAUUGCUCUUUUAUUAUAGUAGUUCUCUUAUUGUGGUAAAUUAGGUGUCCACUGGAGCAAGCACGUGAACCUGGGCCUCUAACAUGACUACAGAUUGGCUUAAUGAUAAGCAGCAGAAUUUUCUCUGCUUUCCUUCUGUCUCACCUCCCCCACCCUCUACAUUUUCUUAAGACAGUUUGGUCACUUUUUCCAGGAUCUCCUCUUCCAAGCUCAAGAAUGGUCCAUCCUGGCAUGCAGGAAGCCAAGGAAAGAUGGCAGGAGGCCUGCCUGGAUGAAACAAGGAGCUCUAGACAAAUCUCAAACAUAAAAAAGAAACAUGAGAGAAACAUGGAAUUAGUUUCAGAUCUCCUGUAAAGGAAGACACUUUCUAUCAUAGAUGAGGUUAGGAAAACCAAAGCCCGACUGGAGCUGAAUCUGGUAAGGGAUAUAAAGGGCAAGAGGGAGGGCUUGUACAAGUAUAUCUGCAGCAAAAAUGGGGGAAAUGUAGGCAUGCUGCUGAAUGGGGUCAUGUCAACUGAAAAGGAACUUGGCAGAAAAGGUCUGUUGGCCUGGGGGUACUGGUGGACAACAAGAUGACUAUAAGCCAGGAGUCUGCACUUGAGGCUAAGAUGGCCAACAGCAUCCUGGGCUGCAUUAGGAAGACCAUUGCAGCAGAUGGAGGAAGGCAAUCCUUUCUUUCUGCACAGCACUGGUGAAACCACAUCUGGAGUGCUGUAACCAGCACAAGCCAUGAGCAUACUGGGGCAAGUCUAAUGAAGAGCCAUGAAGAUUAUUUAGGGACUGGAGCACGUGACACACAGAGAGAUGCUGAGAAAGCUGGGACUGUUCAGCCUGGAAAAGAGAAGGCUCAGCGGGAUCUUGUCAAAGUGUGUAUGAAUACCUGAUGGGGACAGCAAAGAAGGUAGAGACAGACUCUUCUCAGCAGUAUCCCAUGAAAGGCCAAGAGGCAAUGGGCACAAAUUCAUAUACAGGAAAUUCCAUCUAAACAUGAAAAGCUUUUUUUACUGUGAGUGGUCAAAUGCUAGAACAGGCUGCCCAGAGAGCUUGUGGAGUCUCUGUCCUUGGAGAUAUUCAAAGCCUGACUGGACACAAUACUGAGCAACCUGGUCUAGUUGUCCCUGCUCUGAGUAGGAUGUUGGACCAGACAAUCUCCAGAAGUUCCUUCCAACCUCUACGAUUCUGUUCAGUAACAUGUUCAUUAUUCCAGACGCAGUUCUGAUGGGAGCAAUGCUCCUGUGUACAACUUCUCAUUCUCUUUUUGGCAGAGAGAGGAAAAACAUUUCUAUCUUUAGAUUCUGUUUUCAGGAUAAGAUUCAUCCCACAGGUAUUGUGGGAUAUGAGCGAGUCCUCGUGCUCUUUUCAGCACUUUCUGUGCCCCACUUCUCCUGUUGCCCAAAAAAGCUUAUUGAAGCAUUGCAGCUCCCUUCUGCCCCCAGCUUCUGUUUUACAGGGGAUGGCAAAGACCAAAGUUUUUGUUUGGUUGGUUGCUUUUUUGGUGUGGCAAAAGCACAGGAUAAGCUUAGGAUAUGAGGGACAGUAAGUGCACUGCAGGUGCUCUUCCACUCCAGCUCUGUGGAAGAGUGGUCUUUUAAUUCAGGAUUAGAUCCCUCACCCCUUGCUCUGCCUCAAGCGCAGCAAAAAAGCUACACAAGACUACCAUGAAUCUAGGAUUCUCUCCUAUUUAUGCUCACCUGCUGUCCUUUUGCUCCACUUUUCCACUGAUCCAUACUGUGAAACAGCAGAGCUGCCACAGAGAAAUGGAUUGUGUACCAAAGACCUGAAUCUUAAAGAUGUGUUAACUUAAUCUACCAAGAUCUUGCUAGUGAAAAAUUUUCAUGUCAUGCUGAAAAUAACAACUUCUUUACUGAGGAUGGAAGUCUGGUAAUGUGACAAAUGCUGAAUCUGUUUCUCUGGAGAGAAAUUGCUAGCAGAAGACUCUGUGAUAGCAUUGUAGGAGGAAUUCAGAGCAAAACAGUUUUUGCCGGGUUUUGUUGGUGCCCUCAGCUAUGGGAGUACAUUCUUCCUCACUUCUAUGAGUUGGAUUGCUUAUAUAAAAAAUUACUUCCCCUUGCUCCAUGUUUCCUAAAUUAUGUAAUUUAUCUUACCCUGCCUUACACACAAAUAUAAACAGGAUUCCGUCAUCUCAAAACUGAUAUAUUAAAAAGCGCAAAACCUGAAAUUCCUUUUGUCAAUUCUCAGGCAACACAGUGGGCCAUGUAGCAUAGCCUAAGACAGCUUUUCUGAAACUGGUGGUGUAACACCAUUUUAAUUUCAGCUUAUCAGAUUUAAGCCAUCAGUGGGAAUCAUACUGGACCCAACAGUCCUCUGUAACAACUUUGGCUUCUUAAGCACCUAAAGGCUUAGUAAACUGCUGGAAUGUGAAGAAUGAUUUGCAGAAAUUAAUCAGGAAAGUCUUUGUACGGCACAUCUUUGCUAUUCAAGGAGUAGUGUGACAUGUUCUCUACUUUUCUGCGUAGAUAUCACUGCUUCUUUGCUUUGUGUUUUCAGUCUGGUUCCUAGACAAAGAGAGAUGUCAAGGCAAUAGGAAAGUAAAUUUUCUCCACCCAGAUCUGAGUUUUUUAUCUAUCUUUGACUCCAUUUAACCAAGUAAGAUAACAAUGCAGAAACUAAUGAUGUAUCACAAAAUGCUGAGAAAAUAUGCUUGAAUGGUUUGCCCACAACCAAAGAGGCAAUAUCAUAAAGCCAUUACCACAUUAGUGAUGCUGUGGCUUUAUUACCAAAUUGUGUAUGUACUUGAUAACACUAUUGGAUGAUACAUUUGUAAUAGAAAGCCCAUUGUGGUAACCUUUGACUUGUUUCUUGCCCGGGGAUAAAGAUUUGUAAUUGGAAGAAAGUUACAACAAGCAACAGUGACUAGCAAGUUUCAUUUACGAAACUCCUUCCUCCUCAGGCUCCCUGCAGCUAACACAAUAUUUCAUAAAGGGGGCUAAAAUUCAGAUUUGGUUACAAAGCCUGCCUUUGUAGGACACUAGAGACACAAGGAUUGAGUGAAAUCAUUUUGUUUACUCAGAUUUAAACCAAGAAAUAUGAACUAAUGCAAGAGUCAGAACCAAAUUGAAAUGUCUGAAGUACAAGACUUAAACACUACAAAAUUCAUAUCAUCAUCCAACACACAUUCCAUUUCUAACCCAUCAGUUUUGGGAUUCAUUCAGGAAAUACUUAAAAACAGGCCUUUUUUUUUUUUUAUGGGUUCUAUUGAGAAUGUUUCUAACACUCUUGUAAAAAACAUAAUUAUGAUCAUCUGUGUCAUCUUGUGAGAUGUUCUUGAAAGACAGCAUUUGUUAAUUAACAAAUUAAUAGAUAUUUUCCUUCUAUGAGUUUGUUUUAAUUGUCUAUUUAUAUCAGAGUAUUUAAAAUGUACCAGUCUACCACUUCAAGGAAUCUUUCUAUAAUACUGAUAGUUGGGGUUUUUUUCUCUGCCAGUAAACAUAAGAGGAAAGUACCAAAUGCAGCACAGUGAUAUAACUGUAAAUGAAUCCUUUAUUCUGACUUCUACAUUUUAGCUAUUAGCCUGCUCAAGAGAAAUUUUGCUGUUGAUUCAGAGCCUGUAAGUGGGAUCAGUCAAACUGGCUUCAUUAAAGUCAACAGCACAUCCUGCUUAAUAUUGCAUGCCAUGCUCAAACACCACAACUUCAGCGACAGCUGAAAUAGGCCACAUAAUUGUAAAUGGUAUCCAAAAUCAUUACAAAGCUGCCAGGUCAGAUACUGAAAUUCCAGACUGGAGGAUUUUUCUACUUACUGUACCUGUACAUAGCAGGUGUUAAGUGUUAUGUUUUAAAUUUAGUAGUUCAUAUUUGAAUCUAUCAUGAGUAAUUUUGUGAAAGGCAUACCUUGAAAACUAACACUAAUGGUUGUGGAUGAGACUAGAGAUUCGGUUUGGAUACACCAAGUGGUAGCUGUCAUCUCUUCUACCAGAAUGUAACCAUUUUGCCAGGUCUUAAUUGCCUUCAACAAUAGGCCGGGUUUAAGUUUAAGAGGGUUCAUUUGUUGCUCAAGUUCCGCUCAAACUCUGGGAAAAUAAUAUUAAUCUUUCUCAUGUUCAGUGAGUUAAUUUUCCCCAUUUCCAAACACAAGUCAAAGGGAUCAAUAAAAAAUAUUUUAAAUAAAAGGAAAAAAAGACUACUUUUGACAAAACAGUUAAGCAGGGUAAGAGACAACACCUAGCAUACAACUACAGCAAUAACAAUUUUACAGUCUUCUGCUGGAGGAGCAGUGCUUGGCCAGUUGCUUGCUUUUGUCUCCUAAGGUUGCCUUCACUCAAAAUUUGGGACUCUUGUGUCUUGCAGGGCAGCAAGGCCUCAUCAUCUUCAGCUUUUCCACACACAAUGUAAAAAACUCUUUCCUGAAACUCCUUUUCUACUUUCUAACAGCUGUACCCUAUGCUGAAAGUAAAUGCCCAAGAUAAGGUUAACACUCCCCAGGCACAGUUAAAAAAAACUUAACUGACCUUAACUCCUUCCUACACUCUUGCAGGCACAAACUUUCCUCCUUUAUGCUAAAAACCCUUCCUUUCCAACAGAAAUGUUUCUCUAAUAUAAUGAAACAGCAUACGCAAAAUAAACAUGCUUUAGACCUAUCUACCAGUCCUUUCCAUUCCUUGUCCCUUUGCUCUGCCAGUUGUCAGCCAGACUCCUUUUCUAGUCUGACUUUCUUUCCCUGAGGAAUUCUUGUGGUGGGAGAGAGUGCCAGAGAUUUGCUUUCACUUUGGGCCUCAGCCACCAGCGUUACCCAAAGUUAAUGUAUAUUUAAUACGAUACAGCCAGUAACCCUUUCUGCCAACCUCUGAUCAUGUGCCAGCUGAAGAGUGCUGCGAAGUAACGUCCUCUAACUAAAUCUCAAAGCCCAAGUAUAAACUCCUGAUUAGUGGUGGGUGAGAUUACUAGGGAUGUAUGCAUAUACCCCUCUGUUUCUUUGCCAGCUGGAAUUUCUCCAUGCUGUAGGAUAUCUACGGAAGCAGGCUCCAGAAAACCUUCUGGUUUUGCAGUACAUGUGCAAGGCAAAGCUACCAAAGGGUUUUUCCUGGUAACUUCAUUUCCUGCCUCAAGCCGUCAUGUAACACUUCUGUGCCUGGUUAAUUGAUGGUCAUGAUGUAAUGGGUAAGUUAUGGCAUUUCAGCGAUGGGUGUAAGGCAAUCUUCAUGUGUGUAGUUGAAAAGGAACAAUUUCAUGGUUUAGGUUUCUUCAGGAAUACACUAUCAUUUCCACAGAAGUUUGCUUUUUUUUUUGUUUGCUUCUUCCUUCAUGGACCACCAGAGACAAAGAUGACUGAGUGUAAAGCAGUUUCCAUUCUUGGAAGAUCUUUCUCCCACCCCCCUGUAUUUCUUUAACUGGUUAAGUAAGGUUUAGGUUCACCAGGUAGUAUAAAGGUCAAAAUGUUAAGGGAACCAAAGAGAAGUGAUUGAGAAGGUCUUUCUGAGGAUGACAGCUCUGCCUUGUAAUACAAUACUAUUUCUCCUGGGAGUGGGUGGGAGGCCUGCCUAAAUUUCCUCUUCCUGUCCUGCCAAAUUCCCCAAAUUGCAUAACUGUGUAUUCUCCUUACACAGUGGUACCCUUGGCAUCCCUAGUGAAUCUGCAGGGAAGUAGUGAAGCAGCUGGAGGCUUGAAGGUUAACCAAAAUUGGUAGAGGACAGACUUGGUUAGCCAAAAAACAAAACAAACCCAAACCCACAAACUGAAUUUACUAACUCUCCCAUGUAUAACAGAACACAAUACACAUUUAAUAAUAUACACUAUUUUGCUCUAAAUGCACUCCAUCUAGGAAAAAUAAGUUUAUCGGGAUAAGCGAAGGACCCUUGGGGAGUUCAUCAGUUCAGUUUCAAGUCACAAGAUGUGUUUUACUUGGCUUUGGAGCCUUCUUGUGCAAGAUUAAUGUGAAACUGCUGAAAUGCAAACUGACAAAAAGACAUAUUUUUACCAAUUGGUGCUUUUUCCUCUGUGCCAUUAUUUUCAUUGGGAGGCCUCAUCACUGCCUUCCCCAUCACCCCUGCCUUAGACUGACAGGAGUAUGAGGUACUUCUUGGCUUCUGUGAGGAAAUGAAAGAAUGACUGUUUGAAGAGCAGCAUGACCAGUGUACCUCAUAAGGAUGUAAUCCUGAAGGCUUUUGCUUUGUCACUAGACUGAAUCAGAAGGGAAGAAUUUGGACCUCCUUAGCAGGGAGUGUCAAACGUGGUUAUCCUGGGGUAGGUUUUGCCUGAGUAAGGAGGGAAAGAUUUGCCUCCUUUGGAAAAAUAUUUAUGUUUCUUAAAAGUUCAAGUAGCCAAAUUCAUUACUUUUGAAGCUUUGCUAAGCUUCACUGGAGCCUACUGUAGCCAUGUAAGCUGGCUGAUUGUCAUUAAGACAAUAAAAAAGCAAGCACACCCGCAGAGAUUUUGAUAAACCUGCUCUUACUGUCUGCAUACAGCACCUUAAAUAGGCUCAGGGCUGUCGCUGGGAUUGCUCAAGAGAUUGGGUACUACUCAACGUGUGUAAGGGUGGGAGAAUCUGGCUCCAAAUGGUUUCUUUUUCUCUCCUUGCUACAGGAACUGGAAAAGACAAGGGUGUGUGGGCGGGCCUGGAGUCCCUCCAAGGAAAGUGUGAGGCCUUGGGCAAAACAAAUCCAUCAGGUCUCUCAUUUCUUCCAAGUAUAGGUCUGUUCUGAGCAAUAGCCAAACUCAAGUCUAAACUCCACAUUCAACUGUUUCACGGGGAAUACGUGAAAAAGGCCCUAUGGCCUACAGAGUCCAUCUAUAGAAAAUAUUUUGAUAGCUCAUCUGCUCUGGCAUUAUCUUCCACUUAAAAAGAAAGAAAAAGAAAACACACAAAACUGAAGCACAUGGUUCAAUUUUCACUGUAAAACAACUGAUUGAUGAAAAUAAUACUUCUGAAAACAAUCUGUUGUGAGCUAUCAAGGAUCUUUGCCUGUGCACCAAUUGGCAGGAAGCAGACAGAUAAAUUAUUACAAUAUGUAACAAAACAAACUGGUCUGAAGAGAAAUGGUAUUUGUGUGGGGGGUGUGUGUGUAUGAGCAGGAUAAGUAGAAUUAAAUCCAUAAAAGUAUGCUAAGAGAUCAUCCUCCAUCGCAGCAGAAAUAUACUGGAAGGAAAGAAAGUUGCUUCAGCUCUGUCCCUGUCUGAAUCUCUAGGAGAACAGGGUUUAUGAUAUGCAAGUGUUCUCCUGAAGAAGAACAGAUGAAUCCUGGACUUAAAUGAAAAAUAAAAAAAGAACUUGGGAUGUUCCUGCUCUUGAGAGGUAGGGGUCUUAUAGCCAUUUUUGUCAAGAUGCUUCCAAAUUUUUCAGGCAUCACCACAUCUUAAUAAAAUGGAGAAGUUGCAGUAACUCCCCAGAUCUUGAAUACUCUAUUACCGUCCGUGGGGAAAUUUUCUGAAGUGCUUAUAGACAUGAAGAUUUAAGAGGCAAAAUCCCAUUAACUUUCUGUAAGACAGUUUCUUUAUAGCCCGGCAUGUGAACAAACUACAGUGAGAUAAGCUCUGUAUGAAGUAACAGCAUGUGAAUUGUUGUGUUGUGACUUUCCGUGUUCAUGCUCCUAUCUCACAGUGACCUUACAGCUGAAGCAGAGAUGGUGACUCCUUUUCCAUCAAGAGCCAAACCACAUCACAUUUGCCUCAGAGCUCAGACCAUGUACCCUGGCAGCUGGUGGAUAGCAGUGGACAAGCCUGCUGUCUGCCACGUGAUAAAUAUACUUCUGAAAAGAUAAGUAGAGCUUCUAAAUUGUGCAGGAUAAAUCUUCCUUGAUAUUUGUGGGUCACUGUCACCCAGCCUGAGCCAUCAGAUCCACACUGACCCGUUCAUGCCAUACCUGUAACCCGCAUCAAUCUUGUCUGUUUCCACUGAUGCUAAGAGGAGAGGGAAUCUUUCCAGGCAUGAGCCCCAUCUUCUUUUCCUGAACUAGGCCCUACUUGUGGAUAGUAGAGGAGGGAAGUGGACACACAAAGCAUGAAAGUCUGGAAAAGGCAAUUCUGGGAAAUGUGACCUGCAGGGUGUAGUUAAAUUUCAGACACUUAUCAGAGAGGGACUGGAGACGGAGUCAAGAUGAGUUGGAGCAUGUAUCUGAUAUUGUUCCCAUAGUAAGGCUUAUAUGGGUGCUAGUAGUUGAUCUUAGGUUUUACAAUAGAUGUUCCAUAGAUGUGGCCUUUUGGUUAUUACUGCAAUCAUCAUGACUUCAACAAGAAAAAAAGAUUUUUAAAGGUCUCCAGAAGUAUCCAAAUCCCAUUAAAAUUCAGUGACACGCUUUCUUAAAGGCUUCUUUGAAAAUCCUUCCUUACACCUCUACUUCCUCCCCAGAAUCCAAAUGUCCUUUUCAGAUUAAGCAUCCUUAUAUGUGACAGAGCCAGAGUAUCAUGGACUUAUUAUUUUCUGCUGUUUUUAGCCAAGGGACAAAUAUUCUGCAAUCUAAACAUGACAGGAAAUUUUUUUGCCAUAUUUGAAGGCUGCUGAAUGUGGUGAGUGGCUAAAAAAUAAAUAGUGAGCAGAAGUAAAGGGUUCCUCUUACAAACUCUUGCAUUUGCACAUUGUAAGGGAACCAUUCAUAGCCUGUGAGCACAAUAGCUGAUAGUAAUUGCUAGCAGAAAUUAGCUAGCUGCAGGGACUGCUAACUGUAGGCAGCUAGCCAACCUAAAAGAUUGUGAUCAUGUCAUUUAAGUAAGCAGCAAGUAAAAGAGUGUGUGGCUGAAGAAUUACUGUGCUACUUUGUGACAGAUAACUUGAAAAGGUGACAGGUGAAUAAAAAAAAAGAAAAAAGCCUGUAAGAGUCCAAUAGUAACAGAUAAAUACACUCCAAACAGCUGUAGCUCAUUUCACCUACCAAAAUUGGAGUAAUUUGGUCUUGUUUGUCAUUGAAACAUACUCAAUAGGAACUCAUUAAUGUGGCUAAGUCAGCAGCCUAAAUUACAGUAAAAAGAUUAGCUUAACAGAGCUGUUUUGUGGGUUACAGAUUUUCACAUGCAACUACAAAUUCAUCACUAAACCUUGAAGUGCUGGAACCAUCUACAAGUAUCUCUAUGCCAGAUUCUUGUGCCUUCAGUUAUUUUGAGCCGCUUUGGCUGCACCACUAUCUUGACAAAAUGUAUGAAAAACCUUCAAGUCUGAGAGUGGUGUAUUCCUUGUCCUUCUAGUAUGAUAGAAGAUUCACAGUCCUGUGCAACACUGUUUCAAAGUCUCCAGCCCAUGUCACAAAUCUUACAUUUCCUGCUGCAUUGAAGGACAGGAUGCUCCUGGUAUUUUCUGCACAGCUUUCAUGCCAGUUAAGAAACCUGAAAGCUUCCCUGAAACCCAAGAUGUAAGUGUGCGCUAUAGUCUGUGUGCACGUGUUUGUGUUUUGGGCCUGCAGAGGUUACGCUGUAUGUUCUUCUACAUUGUCCCUUCAGGCAGACAGGAGGAUUAUGGACGACACUUAUGUCCACACUGCAGUCCGUAGGCACAUCUACUUUGCUUACGCAUACUGGAGACCACCUUUCAGCCAGCCAGCAGCAGAGCUGGUGACAAUGCAAUUGCGUAGGUAUGGGUGUUGGUUGUUUAGUACCUGCAGAGGGCCCUGGGAAGGCAGCACAGCUCAAGCUAAAAGUGAGUUCCUGUACCAUCUGUCUGCCCCUGAAACCCAAGUGAGAUCGUUCCAAGCUAGCUCAGCUCCAGUAAUGCUAGAACAGCACUGUGGAUGUGCCUAAAAGCUGGUUUGGCCUCCACUUGGCCAGGUUGGUGAGUGCCAUGGCCACUUUGGUCAAGUGUCCUGGGUACAAACAAAAAGGAAAAGGCAGCUCAUUCCAGUCAAUGUCAAGACCUUUCUUUCCACCUUCAGCCUGGGCAGUGGGCCCCAUCCACCUAGGGACAGUCUUUUAGUAAGCACCUCUUCAUGGAGAUCUGCCUGUUUGUCUUUCUCUCUUCUUGCCCCAGCCUUCAGAAGGCUCCCUUCGCUAUUUUUUCAUCCAAAUGCCAACUCCUACGAUACUUGUAUAUAACUAGUAAGAGUGGGUGACACUGCACAAGACUUUCAGCAAAAUCUGCUAUCCAGAAAAAUUCAGAUAGUAGCCUUAACCAUGUUUUUAGGUAUUUCACUGAACUGAGCCUGAACUCUCCAUCACUGGAGGCCUGCCUUAACCAGUAGGCCAAUUUGCUGCGGAACUUGUGCAGAAAUUAACACAGGACUUAAGAAAAAAAAAAAAACAACCAAAAAAACCCAAACUAGAAUAUAAAAUGGUAAAAGGUGAUGUUCUUUCUGUUCUUCAUUUUCAGUGUGUAAUUGAAGAAUAAACCUUGGCGAGCACUCAUACAAUCCAAGAUGGAUGGUAUACACAAACAUGAGGCUGCUCUUAUAAUCUUAGAAGCUCUGGGGACUAAUGGGAAAAGAUUUCAGAAACUCAAGACCUGACAGGGGUCCUGCUAUGCUGUCAGUGUUGAAGCAGAAUUGAAAUCCCACUGAUUUCAGUGGAAGUUCAGCUCAAAACCGGAUGGCCUUAAAGGCCUCUACAAGUUAAGUACUUGUGCUGCAAGAAAAGCAUAUGUAGCACAGAGUGCUGCCAGGAGUGUGGUAUGAACCAUAAGAUUUUACAGUAUGUAGGACAGAGUCCAGCUGAGUGUUAACAGGAGAAGCAUUUUGGAUAAUGUAGAACAGCUGACAGAAUAUAGCGAAAUAAACAGUGCAAUACUGAGAGCUGUUGGGGAGGAAUUCUUACAGUUCAGAGGAGGCAAGGCUGGCCAGCAGUCAGACCCAUUACAACUGUUCAGUUUAGACUUGGGUAUGGUUAUGCUGUCCUUCCUGAUACCUAGCUGCUGUCACUAAAGGAUUUGUUGGAUAACAUGGAUUUGAGCGCAAGUCUCAUGCCAAGGGUGUCUAGCUCUAAUUUCCAUCCUCUGCCUUUCUCCAAAGCCAUGACCUGAGUUUGGGCAGGAUCAGCUCAUCCACAGAAAAUAACUGCCUGAAUCUGAGUUCAAACUGGUCAGAGUGGGUGCUGUGGAGAAGAGGAAAACAUUUUGAAGAUUUCAUAGUCAGGAUUGGUUCCCUGGGUUACAAUCACACACCCACAGAGAGUCAGUGCAGGCUGCAGUUCAGGAAUGUUCCCAGGCUCCUUACUGAUGCUAAGUUCUCACAUAACACUAGCUGGACAUACUGCUGCUCACUCUCUCCAGCUGGUUAACGUUAUCUUCUCAUAGCCAACCACCUAGCCUUAGUAACUCAUGCCUCUAUUGCCGCCUCAGUGACCAAAUCAUCCUGUUACUACUGGUUCAGAAGCCUUCAGUGAUGAGGAAACCUCUCCUUUGUGCAGGUCGCUGCAGCAUGUCUCCUCCAUCACAUGAGCUGCUGUGAGUCUGCCUGUACCGAAUAUACCCAUCAGCUAAAUUAUAGUCAAGUUUGGGGCCUCCAUGCAGAAGCUCACAACUGGGCCCAUACUGAGAAGACUGGCAGAUAAUUAUCAGGAUGGACAACAGCUUUCUCCCAAGCAGUAGCAAAACUUACCUAGAGCUUUCUUAAAAGCCAGUCUAAGACUGCAAAAUGAGCUUUACAAGAAACUGAAGGCUAUCAUGAGCCUCACUAUUUUCCACUCUGUCUUCCUCUUAACAAAACUGCCUAGAUAUUGCUGUAUUUCUAAAAAAAAACAUUCUAUGAAAUAGACACUGCACUACACAUAUUUCCUCUCCUGAGCUGCAAAAGAAACAGUUGGUAUACAUUUUCAAGUUGCUAGCAGGUGCUUAGACAUAGGAUCUCAGCACUUUACUCACAUUGCCACUGUCUAUACUGAAGUUAGAAUUGGAUGCUUAUGCAUAUGAGAAUGAUUACACAGAAACAUUUCUGUAUUUCAGUUUUGUUCCAAAUAAAAAUCUGUGACAUAAAAGCCAUAAAAGGAAACUUCAAAACUUCAGGCCAUGGAUAUAAAUAAUUUGCGUACAAGAAGUUUCAGGUGCUCCAGGUGAAGUGCACAGAGCCCACUAAGUCCAAAAAGUUACAUGCUGCUGAACUUGCAGGGUUGGCACAGGGAUUGUACAGGGCACACAGCAGCAUUACUGCUGAACUACUUGCCCAUCUUCAAACUGUCUUAGGCAUUACAUGCAAGAUGGACACAGUUUUGGAAGGGGGCUAAUCCUUCAUUACUUAUUGAAUAUCAAUGCUAUCGCAACUGUAAUUUCAGUAAUGUGAAGGAUGAAGAUCUAGGUGGACCCAGCCAUAUCAAAAGUUUCUCCAGCAGCAUUACCCAACCACUGAUGAUAAUAAAAUGACAAAAAAAUGACAAGAAUCUGCCAUUUAUCAACUCAAGGACAGUUACUACUUCUAUUGUCAACUUUAGAGGUAGGAAAUUUGAGAUGCAGUUAUAUAUUUUGUAUAUACUGUUGCUUUAUACAGCACAGCUUUGUGAACAAGCAGUUCUUGCCUACUACUUUAAUCAAAAGCAGAAGAGCUUGUUGGUGUCUGGUGAGGAAAAGGGUAGAAGGAGAGGAGGGAGAGCACAAAUCUGGUACACUCAACCCCAGCCACCAAAACUGAGCACUUCUUAUGCAAAUUUUAACUUCAUCUGUGUCAAAAUUAAACAGAAAAAGGAGGUAACAUCAUGUAGAUAGAUUCUGUGGUGCAUAUUACUAGGAAAGCUACACAAGCAUCAGAGACAUUACUUCUGCCCUUUAGUACCCUGUUUAACAUGUAAAUGCACUUGAUCUAAGAAUAUAAAGUAUUCAGGCAGGCAAAGCAGAAUAAAUGUUGCCUUGAACUGUGCUUUAAUAUUGGACCUUUUUGGUUUUACCAAGAAAAUAAAACCAAUCCAAGGUUUCCUGUCUAAGUUUUGAACUUAUCGUAGAACAGACACGUAAACCAAACGCAUUGGGCUUGAGCCUGAUUUGUAGAAGAGCUCAUUUAUCUGCUGUUUCAAACCUGUGCAUUUCACUGUUCUACAGACGAGUGCCGUGAUGCUGCUAGCACACUUCUGCUCAUGUUCAUGGGCAGUCAGGCUCAAGAUCAGGCUGCUAUGUAGGAACGGAAAGCACAUUUAUUUCUCUAGGGGGCUAAUGAGCAUGCAGAUCUCAGCUUAUCAGGAAAGAAAGCUCUGCAAAUGCUUGAAAAGAGCGUUUUCUGUUUUCCUUUGGCUCUUACUAAUUCCAAAAAAUCACCAAGUAUCUGCACAACCUGAAGCAAUUGAGUUCUACUGAUACCAAUUUAGGGCUUUUGCACAUAGAAACUGAUCAUCUGCUUCCGUGCUCGGCAGAACUGAGGAGAAAUUAGUAUCUCCCCAUCAGCUUUGUCCAAAGGAGGGGAAACCCAUAAGCUUUCUGUAAAGGUGUACAGUCACUCUUUUCACAGUUAAUCUGUCCAGGCAGAGCAGUAUCAAACCCAUGUACACAGAAUUCCAUCUACAUAAAACCUGAGAUGGGAUUAAUUUUGAAAUGUAUUUAGGAAUAAUAAAUACUAAAGCACU